AGAUUGAACGCUGGCGGCAGGCCUAACACAUGCAAGUCGAGCGCGAAAGUUCCUUCGGGAAUGAGUAGAGCGGCGGACGGGUGAGUAACGCGUAGGAAUUUGCCCAGUAGUGGGGGACAACUCGGGGAAACUCGAGCUAAUACCGCAUACGCCCCAAGGGGGAAAGCAGGGGAUCUUCGGACCUUGCGCUAUUGGAUAAGCCUGCGUCGGAUUAGCUAGUUGGUGGGGUAAGGCCUACCAAGGCAACGAUCCGUAGCUGGUCUGAGAGGAUGAUCAGCCACACUGGGACUGAGACACGGCCCAGACUCCUACGGGAGCAGCAGUGGGGAAUAUGGACAAUGGGGGCAACCUGAUCCAGCCAUGCCGCGUGUGUGAAGAAGGCCUUAGGGUUGUAAACCGCUUUCAGUAGGACGAAAGUUGACGUACCUGACAGAAGAAGCCCCGCAACUACGUGCCAGCAGCCACGGUAU
rnacentral:rRNA from 1 species